UCUUGCAGCUUUCCAGUUGUGUUUUUGUGGUCAUGUAAAAUAUGCAGGCAGUACUUUUCCUCGGCUCCCAACUUGAUGAUAGGUCACCGAUGCCAUACUGUCUUACUGCAAACCUUUUUGUGAAGCUUUCAUGCUGAUGUAUCUGAGGACUGGGUCAUUACAGAGUUUGUUUCAGUAUCAGCAGCUGAAGGCAGAUAUGAGAAUGCAGCUAUGGAAAGAGUCCGUCAUUGAAGCUACAGACGGAAAAUGAAUGCAGAAUCGGCUGCAGGAACAAUAGCAUUUAGCAACGUUAGACAGCUCCGACAGGCUGUGGGAUGAAGCAGCCCAGACAACAGCCAUCCUCCUCUAAGUCCUGGCUGAGACUGAUGUGGGGACGUUGCGCUGUGCCUCUCCAGCCCAGCCUUCUCCCUGUUUCCAGCAUGCCACAGGGAGCUACCUUCUGCGUCUUGAGUCUGCCUUGAUCCUCCUCCGUUUUUCCUGCCACACAUUAGUAAAUGUGCUGCACUAAAAUCAAUGGGAGUUUGAAAACUAAAAGUAAUGUGUGCUUCGGUAUGCUACUAAUCCACUUAUUUGGAUCCUCUUACGGCUCCUCUGGGCUGCCCUGAUCCCCUCUAUCAGCCCACCCAGCUGCUCUGAUCUCCUCUCUAAACUUCCACUGCUGCUAUAUUAGCAUCCCUGUCAACUCACAGGGCUGCGGCUUCAACUUCUCCAAUCCCCUCUCCCAAUGAGAGUCUCUCCACUAAAUUAUAAUCCUUGUAGCUCAGAAUACUGAUGCAAGCUAAAAUCAAAUCACGAAGAGCUGCUGCAGCCCCUACUAGGAUGCUCUGUUUCCCUAAAUGUUUUCAAGUAGUGCUUACAUUUCAGGCUAGGGAAAUAGUUUUAAGACACAUUCAUAACCACCUGCCUGCAUUUCAGUUCUGAAAAAUAAAAUUUUACUGCAAGGUACAAUGUGGUUCAAAACCUACUCACACAUGCACUUUUUAAAGACAGAUUAUGUGAAUUUAAUAUUUGUGUCAGGCUAGAGACUGGCAACCCCUGAAGAUGAUGCUUUCAUUCAGCAAUAAGGUAUAUGCAGCAAUAUUUUCAUUAAUGUAGCUUCCCCUGGGUUUACCUUUAGAGAUGUGUAGAUGUUGAAGACUCUGUCACCCGUUCAGUUCUUGACCUCUCAGCUGAGGCUGCUGGGACACCUGAAUGGAUAUUUUCUCUCAGAUGGACAAAUCCUGCAGGGAUCAAACUGACAGCACAGAGCUCUGAUCAUCUGGUAACAGCUUUGAGAGAUUUCUUGCUGGGGUUGGAUAGAAACUAAUGAACUCAAACUUAAAAGUACAAUACUUUACACUCAGCCAUUUAUCUUCUAUAUGCACAAAAAAAUAGAAGAAAACAGAUUUUUUUUUUUUUUAUCAGCUUUUCUACCAUCCAGCAAAAGCUUCAUGGAAUUUGGGAGUGUCCACAUUAUGUUUAUUCACCUAAAAUUUGAAUUCAGUUAAGAUGCCUUGAAAAUGAGGGUUGUGAGGUGUAGACCUUGCUUCAGAGCAGGGUGAAGAGGGAGACAACUGUACAGGUUUAAGCUCAGUGCGUGAGAUUUGACAAGUCCAUCUGCAUUUUCAGUAUUAGCCGUGUUACUGCAUUUUUUCCUGGAAAGAGUUUGCUGCGUUGGUAUCUAUGGCGCAGACUGAUACCGAGAGUUCUUGUGCUUCUGCUUUGCUGUGCCCUAGUUUGGCAUGACACCGUGCACCAUCCCAUACUGCAAAGCGUUACUGUGGUUACUUGUCACUUUUGGCUGUCCCCUUUUCACAUCACAACCAAGCUAAUGGGCUGGGCCUGAUUUGUCUGACUUUUUAAAUAUAUUUUGGCUGUAUUUGUGCUGUAUGAUCUGUGACUAUUUUUCUCAAAUGUAUUUUCCCAGAUAAAAUCAUGGGUAUAUUAAGAUUA